rnacentral:rRNA from 1 species
UCAUUGCACACACACGCAUGUUGCAGCCAACCCCUUUGCGAACUUUACCACUGUCCCACCCCCCCAACUGGCUCCGGCCAGCCCGAGUCUCCUGAUUCUGACCAAGCACGGCGAGGGGCGCGCCUAACCCGUGUUUGGUUGGAUACGGGGACUUGGUGUUUUGGGUUCCAAACAAUCAUCAUCCUCAUUGGAUGGAUGGAUGGAUGGCGCAAUGCAUCAACACUUUCAAAAUAUGACUGAGUAAUUGGAUGCCACAAGGAGAACGACCCCGGGCGGGGCACCACCCACCACCAGCACCACUCCCUUAAAUAAAUUUCCCGGCCGGGAGGGGAGUGAGUGCGUGCGUGCGUGCGGUGGUGCCCCCACCCCCGAGGAGUUCGAGUUGUGUGUCCAAGUGUGAUAAAAAACCGAAACAACUCUCAGCAACGGAUAUCUUGGCUCCUGCAACGAUGAAGAACGCAGCGAAAUGCGAUACGUAGUGUGAAUUGCAGAAUUCCGCGAAUCAUCGAGUCUUUGAACGCAACUUGCGCCCGGGGCUUCGAGUCUCGGGCAUUUCUGCCAGAGCGUCACCGCGACACCCACCGACCCCCCACUCCUUGGCCGGAGUGAGUGCGGGUCGAGUGGAACUGGCCGUCCCAGUAUAUAGGGGGCUUCUCCUUCUUGGAGUCGUCGUCGUCAUUGGGUUGGCUGAAAUGGAUGGAAUUUGGCCCCGCCCGCGGCGCGAC